GGGAAGGAUCAGAAUCAAUUAACAAGCAUCGUUAAGACAACUGUCUAAUUGUAGAGCCCAGAUUUCUUUCACACACUCUGUCGACGCAAACAAUCACUCGAAUCUUCUCUUCCAAAAAUCACUUUCAGCUUAUCCCCAAUUCAAACCCUAAUUUCCCCAAAAUGUCAUUCCUCGACGAAUUCCAAGCCAACCUGGAAUCACUGCCUAAUAUUCUGCAGAAGAAGUAUGCCUUGUUACGUGAUCUAGAUAAAAGUUUGCGG
rnacentral:misc_RNA from 1 species